rnacentral:lncRNA from 1 species
CCGAGGGUGAGGCUGCACUGAGAAAUCUGUAUCCUAACUAACUUUAGGCUGUUAGUUAGUUUUAACUAACCCCACUUGGGGUUACUUAGAGGCUGCAACAGCUUGCCUAAAGAAGCAGCACGUGCAAGCCAGCAUACAUUUUAAUUUGUCUUGCAAAUCCAUGCCUUCCUCGCAGGCAUAGCUCCCCAGGCUUAGCUUGCCCUGCCAGUUAGGAGCUGCAGGCCCUCUGAGCCAGCAGAUUUCAGUAAGGACCUCACGUUCACACACAGUGGAGGCAGUUUUGCACAACAGGGCACAACCCCCCAGCUUUUCUGCCCGGUCUCUCAGCCCCUUGUGCUCAGGCCUUUGCAGUGGGGCUGCCCGUGCAGGGCCCCGGCUGCCUGCAGACACCAGAGCCUUACAAAACCUGCCGGGAAGCAAGGCUGUAAACCAGGGCAGACCAGGAAGAGGAGGAGUGCUGGAAGCUGGAGGCUGGAAACUGCUUCCUAGGCGCGGGAGGGCUCUGUCUUGGUUGAAUAAUGGAGGGCUGGGAGGCACGGGUCAGGCCUCAUUCACGGAUAUCCAUUCAGCAAGGCUCAGCACAGACAGCAAACACACUUGUUUGCUUGCCCUCAUAGAUGCAGUGACAACAGAUGCAGAGAAGGAGAACCAAGAGCCAGUGAGCUGUACAGCAGAAAGUGAAGGGAAACAGCAGAAAAAGCAAAACAAGAGAGAACUAUACCUGAGAGCAUGUGGGGGGACUCACAAAAGCUUCUUUAAAAGAUUCAUCUAUGCACAUCUACUGUCUGUGACAAGGAGCACUUCUCACUGA